AUUGAACGCUGGCGGCAGGCUUAACACAUGCAAGUCGAGCGGGGGAAGGUAGCUUGCUACCGGACCUAGCGGCGGACGGGUGAGUAAUGCUUAGGAAUCUGCCUAUUAGUGGGGGACAACAUCUCGAAAGGGAUGCUAAUACCGCAUACGUCCUACGGGAGAAAGCAGGGGAUCUUCGGACCUUGCGCUAAUAGACGAGCCUAAGUCGGAUUAGCUAGUUGGUGGGGUAAAGGCCUACCAAGGCGACGGUCUGUAGCGGGUCUGAGAGGAUGAUCCGCCACACUGGGACUGAGACACGGCCCAGACUCCUACGGGAGGCAGCAGUGGGGAAUAUUGGACAAUGGGGGGAACCCUGAUCCAGCCAUGCCGCGUGUGUGAAGAAGGCCUUAUGGUUGUAAAGCACUUUAAGCGAGGAGGAGGCUACUUUAGUUAAUACCUAGAGAUAGUGGACGUUACUCGCAGAAUAAGCACCGGCUAACUCUGUGCCAGCCGCCGCUGUAA
rnacentral:rRNA from 1 species